GGCCCCAAGGGGAAGGGGAAGGGCGGCCCCGCGGCCGAGCAGCCUCCGCCGGGCUCCGGGGCCGGGAAGAGCCGCCGGCGGCGCACGGCCUUUACGAGCGAGCAGCUGCUGGAGCUGGAGAAGGAGUUCCACUGCAAGAAGUACCUCUCGCUGACGGAGCGCUCGCAGAUCGCGCACGCCCUGAAGCUGAGCGAGGUGCAGGUGAAGAUCUGGUUCCAGAACCGCCGCGCUAAGUGGAAACGCAUCAAGGCGGGCAACGUCAGCAACCGCUCGGGAGAGCCCGUCCGCAACCCCAAGAUCGUGGUGCCCAUCCCGGUGCACGUCAAUCGCUUCGCCGUGCGCAGCCAGCACCAGCAGAUCGAGCAGGGGGC
rnacentral:lncRNA from 1 species